rnacentral:lncRNA from 1 species
AUGUCUGUCUCACUUGUUUCACAUCUGUUUCUUGAAAGCGCUGAGCCACGCAGACCAGGCAGAAAGCUGCCGGGUGCCAGAGCCGAGGGGAAGCCCGGGAGCUGCGGAGGUUUUGUAGCCAGUCCAGCGCCCGGCGCAGCCUCUUGUGCCAAAAGCCCACGUCCUCCCGCGCGCCCCGCCCCCGCGCCUCUACUCCCCGCCCCAUGUCCCAUACUCCCUGUCUCUGAGCUCCCCGCCCCUACGCCCGUACGCCCCGCCCCUGCGCCCCGCCCUCCCGCUCCCCAGCGGUGCUCGGGCCCCGCCCUGCGCGCCCGCCGCUGGCCGCCUGCUGUUUGCGGGUCCGGAUUGGAGCCAGCGUGGCGCCGCGGGCAGGUCUCGGCACGCUACCCUUGGAGGCCGAGUGAAGGAGGCGCACCGAGCGCGCGGUGGAGCCCGCGAUCCGAGGUCGGCGCGGGGCUGGGCCUCUGGGACCCCGGAUCUGCCCGUCGGCCCGGGGAACAGGUUGCGCGCCGCGCUUUUGUGCUUCCGUUCGCUGCUGUUCCGGCGCUGCGAGCUGCGGCCCCCACGCAGGUACACAGCGGAGACGCGGACAUCACCGCACCUGGCCAGAAGCCUAGCUUCCUCGAGGAAAGUCUCUGGCUGUCAGCACCCCUGGGCAGGGAUAUGGCCUCAAGCUGGCUAGAGGCCAGGCGGCAGUGCCUCCGUUUGCUGAAGACGAGGGGCUUCUUGCUGCUGAAGCUCUCGGCCGCCGUCUUGGCCGUGCUUCUCUUCUGUGAAUUUCUGAUCUACUACCUUGUUAUCUUCCGGUGUAGCUGGCCCGAGCUGAAAACCCCUGAAGAUGCCGGCACCCCUGGGGCCCCCAAGGCCCCUGAACCUGUGCUCAGGGCCAUGUUCUUGGCUGACACCCACCUGCUCGGGGCCAUAAGAGGCCACUGGCUGGACAAAUUACGGAGGGAGUGGCAGAUGGAGCGAGCCUUCCAGACAGCGCUGUGGCUGCUGCAGCCGGAAGUUGUCUUCAUCCUGGGGGACAUCUUCGACGAGGGGAAGUGGAGCUCCCCCGAGGCCUGGGCGGACGAUGUGGGGCGCUUCUGGAAGGUGUUCCGACACCCGCCCCACGUGCAGCUGCGGGCCGUGGCUGGCAACCAUGACAUCGGCUUCCACUACCAGAUGGACACAUACAGAAUAAAACGAUUUGAGAAAGUUUUCAACCCUGAAAGGCUGUUUUCUUGGAAAGGAAUUAAUUUCGUGAUGAUCAACAGUGUCGCGCUGGAAGGGGAUGGCUGUGACAUCUGCUCCAGGGCAGAGGCUGAGCUCCUGGAAAUCUCUCACUGGCUGAACUGCUCUCGGGAGCACUUCCCGCUUUACCGGAAAAAUGAUGCCAACUGCUCCGGGGAGGAUGCAGCACCCCUCAACGAGAAGUACACCCCCUUCAAGGAGCGCUAUGAUGUGCUGUCCUGGGAGGUCUCGCGGAAGCUGCUGUGGUGGCUGCGGCCGCGCCUGAUCCUCAGCGGCCACACGCACAGCGCCUGCGAGGUCCAGCACAGGGCAGGCACCCUGGAGGUCAGUGUGCCAUCUUUCAGUUGGAGGAACAGAAACAACCCCAGUUUCAUCAUGGGCAGCAUCACGCCCAUGGACUACGCCCUUGCCAAGUGCUACCUGCCGUGUGAGGACAUGGUUCUGACCACUUACUGUGUGGCAGCCGGGUGCCUCAUGCUCAUCAUGUUAAUCCCCACUAGGCUUGUGUCUGUACCUUUUCAUUUUGGUCAGAGGGUGCUCAGAAAAUUUAAGACCAUGUGAGUAGCAGCAGACUUUUGCUCUCAGCAGUAGUAAGUCCCAAAGCCAAAAAAAAAUAAACUUUGGGAAGUGCUCAUGGACGGUGAGACUACAGUGGGCCGUGAUCACCACUCCUGGGUUCCGGAUCACUUGUAUCAGGCCCUGCAGGAUCAGUGUUGUUCCCAAGCUGCAAAAAUGGGACCUGUCUCUACACCGGGUCUGUCUGCUUGUUUAUCAAGUAUGUGUGUUAUCAGAGACUCUGUACAGUGUGCAGAAGCUGCGUGUGAUCACUGGCAUGCACUGGACAGCCUCCCUUCCCCAGGACUCUUCCCCAGGAUGGAGGGCCAGCUGUACACAUAUGUGGGGUCUGUGUCUGUCCUCCUGUGAAUGUUCUCAAGUUUCUGUUUUAUAAAGUCGUGUGCUUAAAAUAAAAUACAGAUGCUACAAGC